GUUUUCCAGCAAAAUGGGAUCUGAAAAGUGAUAAUUUGUCUCGCUCUCACUGCAUGCUUUUCGCGUAAGACUGUCUCUGUUUUUGCAGCUAGUCAGUUUCUCAGAUCCGGGCUUAGCCUGAAGUGCAGUAGAAUACCACAAGUAACAGGUGCGUGUUAUCGUCAUCACUAAUGCCUCCAACGUGGAUUUGUUGUUUUGUUUAUGCCGAUUGAUUAAAAUUGAUAUGAUUGAAUUGAGAUGAAUGUUUUGACGAAACGCACCUUUAUGAGCCAGUAUCAGUAAAUUAUCAAUUGUACCUCCGCAGAGUGAGUUCCGUGUUAAAUAAAGAUGUGAAGCAGUAUUGAAAGCAAUACAUGUUUGAUACGAACGAUGAUUCCGCUUGGAGCUCAGCUGAGGGAACCAAUCAAUGGAUAAUAUUGACGCUGGAUGAGCCACGCACUGUCAGUGGAGUGAGCUUGCAAUUUCAGGGUGGAUUUGCUGGUAAGCAGUUUACGGCUUUGGUGUAUUCGUGUGAAGGAGAUCCCACUUACCAAGAGACAUUUUAUCCCGAAGACAUCAACUCUCCUCAGCGUUUUUACUUUAAGGAUGUAUCUCUUACAAAAAGUUGUUCGAAGAUAAAGUUUGUAUUUGAGUCUAGUUCAGAUCUGUUUGGCAGAAUCAUUGUUUAUAAUCUUCAAAUACUAAGCUAAUUAUUUAAAUAAAUUACAA